GAUGAGUCGAUCCAGUUUCAAAAUUAAAAUUUUUUUGCAUAAAUAAGUUAUAAAAUAUUUAUAAAAUUGAAAUUAUUUCAAAUCUAAAUCUAAAUCCAUGUUGAUCAUAAACUUAAUUAAGAAUUAAGUUGAACUAAUUAGAUCUAGAAUUGUGAAUUAAAGAUCUAAUGACAUUCGCAUAAAACAUGAGAUAAUGGGUUUAUGGGCUAGCU
rnacentral:lncRNA from 1 species